ACGCUCGAGUAGUUACAUCUCGUCUGGUGCAUUGAGUAGUUAGAUGUUCAAAGUAUUUGUUACAUGUGCGCAUUGAUUUUAUUAUUUACUAACUCUUGUCUUUGUCUUGUUUCAGGUUCAGCAGUAGGACAUGUGAACCAAGUCACGGGUGUAUUUGGAGUUGCGAAGUUUUUUGUUGUUUUCCUCAAGUGACCAGAGUCACGGGUGUGCAUUGAGGUUGUAUAAGUAUCAUUCUUUGCUUGCGGAAUUAGAUAUCUCUUUUGCUGUGCUUCCUCUCUAUCAAACUUGUCUCCUUUUGUUGUAAUCCGAAGUUGUAAUCUUGUUGCUACAAACUCGAAGUGUAAUCUUGUUGCUACAAACUCGAAGAAGUUUGCUUCUCUUUAGUUCAAGAAGCAGCCCGAAAAGAUGUGGAGCGGGCUUUUGGAGUAUUUCAAGCUCGAUUUGCGAUUGUCAAAAACCCGGUUCGUACAUUGAACAAAGAAAAGAUAGGGAAAUUAUGAGAGCAUGUAUCAUACUACACAAUAUGAUAGUUGAAAAUGAACGAGAUGGAUACAUGCGGUACAAUAUAUCUUAAUUUGAAGAAGGAGACGUCACCAGAAGUUCACAGGUGGAAACCAAGAGGCCUACAAAUCUGAAUAAUAUGUUUCCCAAUCGGAAUGAUCUUCAUGAUGAGCAUAUGCAUGAACGAUUGAAGAAUGAUUUAAUCGAAAA